rnacentral:rRNA from 1 species
AUUGAACGCUGGCGGCAGGCCUAACACAUGCAAGUCGAACGGCAGCACAGAAGAGCUUGCUCUUUGGGUGGCGAGUGGCGGACGGGUGAGUAAUGUCUGGGAAACUGCCCGAUGGAGGGGGAUAACUACUGGAAACGGUAGCUAAUACCGCAUAACGUCGCAAGACCAAAGUGGGGGACCUUCGGGCCUCACACCAUCGGAUGUGCCCAGAUGGGAUUAGCUAGUAGGUGGGGUAAUGGCUCACCUAGGCGACGAUCCCUAGCUGGUCUGAGAGGAUGACCAGCCACACUGGAACUGAGACACGGUCCAGACUCCUACGGGAGGCAGCAGUGGGGAAUAUUGCACAAUGGGCGCAAGCCUGAUGCAGCCAUGCCGCGUGUAUGAAGAAGGCCUUCGAGUUGUAAAGUACUUUCAGCGGGGAGGAAGGCGGUGAAGUUAAUAACUUCACCGAUUGACGUUACCCGCAGAAGAAGCACCGGCUAACUCCGUGCCAGCCGCCGCGGUAA